rnacentral:rRNA from 1 species
AAACUUUUCAACAACGGAUCUCUUGGUUCCGGCAUCGAUGAAGAACGCAGCSAAAUGCGAUACGUAAUGUGAAUUGCAAAUUCAGUGAAUCAUCGAGUCUUUGAACGCACAUUGCGCCCCCUGGUAUUCCGGGGGGCAUGCCUCUCCGAGCGUCAU